GACGAACGCUGGCGGCGCGCUUAACACAUGCAAGUCGAACGGAAAGGCCUGCUUUCCCUUGUGGAUUGCGGGUACUCGAGUGGCGAACGGGUGAGUAACACGUGAGUGAUCUGCCCCCAACUUGGGCAUAAGCCUGGGAAACUGGGUCUAAUUCCCGAUAGGACUGCAGGGUGGUGCCUGUGGUGGAAAACGAUUUUCUAGUGGUUGGGGAUGAGCUCGCGGCCUAUCAGCUUGUUGGUGGGGUAAUGGCCUACCAAGGCGGCGACGGGUAGCCGGCCUGAGAGGGUGGACGGCCACAUUGGGACUGAGAUACGGCCCAGACUCCUACGGGAGGCAGCAGUGGGGAAUAUUACACAAUGGGCGGAAGCCUGAUGCAGCGACGCCGCGUGGGGGAUGACGGCCUUCGGGUUGUAAACUCCUUUCGACCGCGAGGAAGCCACCUGGUUGGAAGGGUGGUGACGGUAGUGGUAGAAGAAGCACCGGCUAACUACGUG
rnacentral:rRNA from 1 species